AUGUGGCAGUGCCGGAAUUUUGAAUCCAGGAAGUCUAGUUCCAGAAUCUGUGCAACAGGUNAACUUAAGAAGUAUGGAGUCACCACAAUCGUAAGAGUAUGUGAAGCAACUUAUGACACUACUCUUGUGGAGAAAGAAGGCAUCCAUGUUCUUGAUUGGCCUUUUGAUGAUGGCGCACCACCAUCUAACCAGAUUGUUGAUGAUUGGUUAAGUCUUGUGAAGAUUAAGUUUCGUGAAGACCCUGGUUGUUGUAUUGCUGUUCAUUGUGUUGCAGGCCUUGGCAGAGCUCCAGUGCUUGUUGCCCUAGCAUUAAUUGAAGGUGGAAUGAAAUAUGAAGAUGCAGUACAGUUCAUAAGACAAAAGCGGCGAGGAGCUUUUAACAGCAAGCAACUUUUGUAUUUGGAGAAGUAUCGUCCUAAAAUGCGGCUGCGCUUCAAAGACUCCAAUGGGCAUAGAAACAACUGUUGCAUUCAGUAAAACUAGGGUGCAUGAUGCCAUUGCUUGGAAGUGGAACCUGAGACACAAUGGAAUUUGUCGUACAUAGCAGAUAGCCCAGUUGACUUGGUGAAUAAGUCUGAUGAAGCUUCCAUAGGAGUGUUGAAAAGCAGUUUUACCAGGCCAUAGGCCUGGCAGAAUUGCAGUCUCUGUUCAGGUUAUGAUCAACCUAUUUGAAUACUAGUAAAGAAUUCUUGCUGUUCAGCAUUAAUAUGUGCUUAUAAUUUGUACCAAUUGACCUUUCCUGAAAUCAUGCAGUAUUGAGUCAUGUCAUUAAAUCUGUUUCCAUGCCAGAAUCUUACCAAUAC